AUUGAACGCUGGCGGCAGGCCUAACACAUGCAAGUCGAACGGGUGGCGGACGGGUGCGUAAUGUCUGGGAAACUGCCUGAUUGAGGGGGCUAACUCCUGGAACCGGUAGCUAAUACCGCAUACCAUCGGAUGUGCCCAGAUGGUAUUGGCGAGUAGGUGGGGUAACGGCUCACCUAGGCGCCGAUCCAUAGCUGGGCUGAGAGGAUGACCCGCAAAACUGGAACGGAGACACGGUCCAGACUCCGACGGGAGGCAGCAGGGGGGAAGAGGGGACAAUGGGCGAAAGCCUGAUGCAGCCAUGCCGCGUGUAUGAAGAAGGCAUUCGGGUUGUAAAGUACGGUUAGCGGGGAGGCGGUACCCGCAGAAGAAGCACCGGCUAAAUCCGUGCCAGCAGCCGCGGUAAUUC
rnacentral:rRNA from 1 species